CUCAUGCCCUGUCCCUGCUGUGGCUGCACGUUGUUUGCACUAGGGUCAAGGGUUUCCCUCCUGCUCUCCUGCCAUCCCAUUUAAUAUCUAGGCCUCAAGGUGGUCCUCCUGCCCCAUUGACUACUGCUGCUUUGCCCACUUGCCUUUUAGACUUAUUUUCUUUUUUUUCCCUUUCAUUUAUGGUUUUCUUUUGCCUUAGUUUAUCAGUUUGCCCUUUGUUAUGCCCAGGUGUUUAUUUGCCCAUUUAGUUAACAGCUGGGAUACCUGGUUAUCUGUCUUGAGUUGUGUUUUGUGAGUUUUCUUUAUUUCAGGAGUGGAGUGCCAUAUUGCUGAGGGGCUAGGCACUUGUGGUGAGGUCCCUGCACUUUUUGCGUGUGAGUAGUUGCACUGGGACACCAUAGACUGCACCAUUGUCUUGUGUGAGGUUUGCUGUGUUCACUGGUGAAUAGCGGUAGCACCCCUAGGCACCCCUCCGUGUAGUCUGCCUCUCACAAGCGGCCUCUACUCCUUUUUCUAUUUAGUUUCACUUAAGUUGGGCUGUGUUUUAGCUUUUGUAAUUGC